AAGGGAACGGGCUUGGCAGA
rnacentral:ncRNA from 2 species